GCCUUGGCUGCGCCUGUCGUCGCGCCGUGUCCUGGAGUGUCUCCCGCGUCACCGCUGUUGUCCUGGAUCCUCGCUGGCUUCCGCUCCCUCCCCGAGUCGCCCUCGGCACGCAGUGACGACGGCGGCGCAAUCCCAGACUCCACGUCUGCCUCGCGACACCCCCCACUCCCGCGUCUCUCCAAUCGCCUCGCAACCUCGCCUCCUGUCAUCUGCACAUCGGCCACUGACUCUGCAGCUUCGACGCCGUUGGCAGUGGUAGCGGCAGUGUCUAUUGUGAGUGAAGGUUACUUGACUAUACAAAUUUCCGUGCACUACAUCAUUUCUAUAGUGCUAUGCUACAUGUGCUACCAACACAGGUCAGUAAAUCCUUUUCAUAUAUUGUGUGUGCUGAUUCCAUGAAUUCUAGUUGCUCCUUCAGAACAGGCUAUGUUGAGCUCGUUGGCUUCUGCUCACUUCAAACUGACUGCUCAAGUGGGCACUCAGACUCUCCCCAAAGGGUCUGUAUAUGGUCAUGUCCGGUAAGUUUAGCAGAUACAGACGUUCGCUGUGCCUCCAGGCUCCAGCAAUGACCGCGCCGCCGAAACGCUCGUGACAAGCUUUGUCGGUGCUAGACGCGAAGCUAGGCACUAGGCUACCAGAGUCGGGCUGGUCCAAGGGAGGGCUGCUUGCAUCGGCUGGUUUCCAUACGCGAAGCAGCAACCAGCCAGCGACAUCGCCAGAUUUGGCGAUCUUCAAUCAGAGAUGGCAAAUAUGAAUACAUUUCUGGCGCUUUCUGAAGCUAUCAAUUGGCCCAGUGGUUCCUACUCUGCAACUAGCAUGCACUAGCAGCAAGGACAUUGUUGUUUGGACUAGAAGAACUAUCCUAGCAUGCACUACCAGCAAGGACAUUGUUGUUUGGACCGGAAGCCCCAUCACAUCUUUGUGUUUCAGCUAUACGUACACACCUUUUCAAAUCUGUGAUGAAUGUUUCGUAUUAAAAGUACUGAGUUCCUCGAUGAUUCUUUUGACAUCGGUGAUAAAUCACUGGAAACAAAUCAAAAUAGAAACAUCUAAUUUUUUUCCUAAUUUUGUGUUUGAGCUAUAUGUACACAACUUUUUAAAUCUAUGAUGGAUGUUUUCUGUU